rnacentral:rRNA from 1 species
GACGAACGCUGGCGGCGUGCUUAACACAUGCAAGUCGAACGGAGCUAUUUAUUUCGGUGGAUAGCUUAGUGGCAAACGGGUGAGUAACGCGUAGGCAACCUGCCCUCAGGAUGGGGACAACGGCUCGAAAGAGCCGCUAAUACCGAAUGACGUAACUCUUCCACAUGGAAGAGAUACUAAAGAUGGGUCAAACCAUCGCCUAAGGAUGGGCCUGCGUCUGAUUAGCCAGUUGGUGAGGUAACGGCUCACCAAAGCGACGAUCAGUAGCCGGUCUGAGAGGAUGAACGGCCUCAAUGGGACUGAGACACGGCCCAUACUCCUACGGGAGGCAGCAGUGGGGAAUCUUCCGCAAUGGGCGAAAGCCUGACGGAGCAAACGCCGCGUGAGUGAAGAAGGUCUUCGGAUCG